rnacentral:rRNA from 1 species
GACGAACGCUGGCGGCGUGCCUAACACAUGCAAGUCGAACGGAACUGUUUUGAAAGAUUUCUUCGGAAUGAAUUUGAUUUAGUUUAGUGGCGGACGGGUGAGUAACGCGUGAGUAACCUGCCUUCAAGAGGGGAAUAACAUUCUGAAAAGAAUGCUAAUACCGCAUGACAUAUCGGAACCACAUGGUUUUGAUAUCAAAGAUUUUAUCGCUUGAAGAUGGACUCGCGUCCGAUUAGUUAGUUGGUGAGGUAACGGCUUACCAAGACCGCGAUCGGUAGCCGGAAUGAGAAGUUGAACGGGCACAUUGGGACUGGGACACGGCCCAGACUCCCACGGGAGGGAGGAGUGGGGGAUAUUGCGCAAUGGGGGCAACCCUGACGCAGCAACGCCGCGUGAAGGAUGAAGGUUUUCGGAUUGUAAACUUCUUUUAUUAAGGACGAAAAAUGACGGUACUUAAUGAAUAAGCUCCGGCUAACUACGUG